UAGGGAAUCUUCGGCAAUGGGCGAAAGCCUGACGGAGCAACGCCGCGUGAGUGAUGAAGGUCUUCGGAUCGUAAAACUCUGUUAUUAGGGAAGAACAAAUGUGUAAGUAACUAUGCACGUCUUGACGGUACCUAAUCAGAAAGCCACGGCUAACUACGUGCCAGCAGCCGCGGUAAUACGUAGGUGGCAAGCGUUAUCCGGAAUUAUUGGGCGUAAAGCGCGCGUAGGCGGUUUUUUAAGUCUGAUGUGAAAGCCCACGGCUCAACCGUGGAGGGUCAUUGGAAACUGGAAAACUUGAGUGCAGAAGAGGAAAGUGGAAUUCCAUGUGUAGCGGUGAAAUGCGCAGAGAUAUGGAGGAACACCAGUGGCGAAGGCGACUUUCUGGUCUGUAACUGACGCUGAUGUGCGAAAGCGUGGGGAUCAAACAGG
rnacentral:rRNA from 1 species